rnacentral:rRNA from 1 species
CCUUGACAUACUAAGAACUUUCCAGAGAUGGAUUGGUGCCUUCGGGAACUUAGAUACAGGUGCUGCAUGGCUGUCGUCAGCUCGUGUCGUGAGAUGUUGGGUUAAGUCCCGNAACGAGCGCAACCCUUUUCCUUAUUUGCCAGCGGGUCAUGCCGGGAACUUUAAGGAUACUGCCAGUGACAAACUGGAGGAAGGCGGGGACGACGUCAAGUCAUCAUGGCCCUUACGGCCAGGGCUACACACGUGCUACAAUGGUCGGUACGAAGGGUUGCUACCUCGCGAGAGGAUGCUAAUCUCAAAAAGCCGAUCGUAGUCCGGAUCGCAGUCUGCAACUCGACUGCGUGAAGUCGGAAUCGCUAGUAAUCGCGGAUCAGAAUGCCGCGGUGAAUACGUUCCCGGGCCUUGUACACACCGCCCGUCACACCAUGGGAGUUUGUUGCACCAGAAGUAGGUAGUCUAACCGCAAGGAGGACGCUUACCACGGUGUGGCCGAUGACUGGGGUGAAGUCGUAACAAGGUAGGCGUAGAUGA